UGCAGUCGAGCGAAAGACGAGGAGCUUGCUCCUUUGACGUUCGCGGCGGACGGGUGAGUAACACGUGGGUAACCUACCUAUAUGACUGGGAUAACUUCCGGAAACCGGAGCUAAUACCGGAUAAUAUUUCGAACCGCAAGGAUCGAUAGUGAAAGAUGGUUUUGCUAUCACUUAUCCAUGGACCCGCGCCGUAUUAGCUGGUUGGUAAGGUAACGGCUUACCCAAGCCACGAUUCGUAUCCGACCUGAGAGGGUGAUCGGCCACACUGGAACUGAGACACGGUCCAGACUCCUACGGGAGGCAGCAAUAGGGAAUCUUCCGCAAUGGGCGAAAGCCUGACGGAGCAACGCCGCGUGAGUGAUGAAGGUCUUCGGAUCGUAAAACUCUGUUAUUAGGGAAGAACAUACGUGUAAGUAACUAUGCACGUCUUGACGGUACCUAAUCCCAAAGCCACGGCUAACUACGUGCCAGCAGCCGCGGUAAUACGUAGGUGGCAAGCGUUAUCCGGAAUUAUUGGGCGUAAAGCGCGCGUAGGCGGUUUUUAUGUCUGAUGUGAAAGCUCCACGGCUCAACCGUGGAGGGUCAUUGGAAACUGGAAAACUUGAGUGCAGAAGAGGAAAGUGGAAUUCCAUGUGUAGCGGUGAAAUGCGCAGAGAUAUGGAGGAACACCAGUGGCGAACGCGACUUUAUGGUCUGUAACUGACGCUGAUGUGCGAAAGCGUGGGGAUCAAACAAGAUUAGAUACCCUGGUAGUCCACGCCAUAUACGAUGAGUGCUAAUUGCUUG
rnacentral:rRNA from 1 species